UACGAAGGUCCCAAGCGUUUAUCCGGAUUUAUUGGGUUUAAAGGGUGCGUAGGCGGGUUAUUAAGUCAGUGGUGAAAGCUCCAUGCCUAACAUGGAAAUUGCCAUUGAUACUGAUGAUCUUGAGUACAUUUGAAGUGGGCGGAAUGUGUCAUGUAGUGGUGAAAUACUUAGAUAUGACACAGAACACCGAUUGCGAAGGCAGCUCACAAAACUGUAACUGACGCUGAGGCACGAAAGCGUGGGUAUCAAA
rnacentral:rRNA from 1 species